rnacentral:rRNA from 1 species
UACGAAGGAUGCAAGCGUUAUCCGGAUUUAUUGGGUUUAAAGGGAGCGUAGGCGGUCUUGUAAGUCAGUGGUGAAAUCCUAUCGCUUAACCAUAGACGUGCCAUUGAUACUGUAGGACUUGAGUACAGAUGCCGUUGGCGGAAUGUGUCAUGUAGCGGUGAAAUGCAUAGAUAUGACACAGAACACCUAUUGCGAAGGCAGCUUACUAAGCAGAUAUUGACGCUCAUGCACGAAAGCGUGGGGAUCAAACAGG